rnacentral:rRNA from 1 species
GAUGAACGCUGGCGGCGUGCUUAACACAUGCAAGUCGAGCGAAGCACUUUGGAAAGAUUCUUCGGAUGAUUUCCUUUGUGACUGAGCGGCGGACGGGUGAGUAACGCGUGGGUAACCUGCCUCAUACAGGGGGAUAACAGUUAGAAAUGACUGCUAAUACCGCAUAAGACCACGGUACCGCAUGGUACAGUGGUAAAAACUCCGGUGGUAUGAGAUGGACCCGCGUCUGAUUAGGUAGUUGGUGGGGUAACGGCCUACCAAGCCGACGAUCAGUAGCCGACCUGAGAGGGUGACCGGCCACAUUGGGACUGAGACACGGCCCAGACUCCUACGGGAGGCAGCAGUGGGGAAUAUUGCACAAUGGAGGAAACUCUGAUGCAGCGACGCCGCGUGAAGGAUGAAGUAUUUCGGUAUGUAAACUUCUAUCAGCAGGGAAGAAAAUGACGGUACCUGACUAAGAAGC